rnacentral:tRNA from 1 species
GUGCUCGUAGCUCAGUUGGUAGAGCAACGGACUUUUAAUCCGUAGGUCAAGGGUUCAAAUCCCUUCGGGCACA